rnacentral:rRNA from 1 species
ACGGCGUAGGAAUUCAUAGGAACGUACCCUCAGGACGGGGAUAGCUACGGGAAACUGUAGGUAAUACCCGAUGAUCUCCGCGGAGCAAAGGUGUGAUUCCGCCUGAGGAGCGGCUUAUGCGAUAUUAGCUAGUUGGUGGGGUAAUGGCCUACCAAGGCGAAGAUGUCUAGGGGGUGUGAGAGCAUGGCCCCCACGACCGGAACUGAGAUACUGUCCGGACACCUACGGGUGGCUGCAGUCGAGAAUCUUCCGCAAUGGACGAAAGUCUGACGGAGCGACGCCGCGUGCGGGAUGAAGGCCCUUGGGUUGUAAACCGCUUUCGGAGGGGAUGAAAUCCUCGAGGGUUCUCCCUCGAGGUUGACAGAGCCUCAAAAGAAGCACGGGCUAAGUACGUGCCAGCAGCCGCGGUAACACGUACUGUGCGAACGUUAUUCGGAAUCACUGGGCUUAAAGGGUGCGUAGGCGGCGAUUCAAGUCAGAUGUGAAAUGCCUGAGCUCAACUGAGGCAUUGCGUUUGAAACUGAAUUGCUAGAGUAUUUCAGGGGUGUGCGGAACUGCCAGUGGAGCGGUGAAAUGCGUUGA